UUGAGACCAGCUUCAUCAGUUGCCGCCGGGCCUACACAUUCCGAAAUCAGUAACACGUCAAGUCUUGCAUCAUCUUAUUUCACGAGGUCAACGAUACGACCACCACAAAGAUUAACCCAACCAACCAAAAAAAGGCGACCAACUUUCAAAGGUCCUGCUACUUUUACAAAGGAGGUAGUAUUGCUGGGCGGACCUCACAACAAUGUAGUUGUAAAACACGGAACCAAGCAAUUACUCUAUGAAAGUGGGCAUGUGAUGAAUGCCUUUGAAUUCCACAAGGAGUGGUCGGCUGAAGAACUUCUAGAGAAUAUUAGAUCAGCUUUCAGCAGUCAUCUUCCUCCAGGAGCUAAUUUGGAAAUACUCAUGGCUUGCCACAAUAAACUGAUAGCUCCUUCUCUAAUGAGGAACCAAACACUCAAUGGUUGGAUGAUGAACAAAAUAUUUAAGCAACGCUCUGUCUAUAUUCGCCCCUCUGUUGAAAUCUUGGAUCUGCAAAGGCUGGACCAACAACCUGAAGACUGGGAUAAAACUAAUGUGCCAGAUAAUUCUCAGGAUCCUAACUGUAUUCGUGAAGAGACACUAGUUGCAGAUGAAAUACUUGGAUGUUCCUCUGAACCUGUGACAUCCAAUCCAGAUGGUCUGCAUAAUGCUGGAAUCGCAUUUCCAAACUAUCUAGGCUUGGACAGUAAUGAUCUUCAUGCAGUACAGGAUGUUUGUGUUUCUGCAGACUCUGUACUAACACAGACACCAGUGUCAUUUGGUGUAGAGGCAUCUAAAAUACACACUACACUGUUUCAGUCUACAUCUGCCAUGACUUUGGAAACUAAUGUUCUGGAGAAAAAAGGAUCAGAUUGUUACAAGUAAGAUAUUGCUUCAUUUUUCUCAGUUU